CAGUCGCCGCGGGAAUACGAAGGGGGCUAGCGUUGCUCGGAAUGACUGGGCGUAAAGGGCGCGUAGGCGGCGGCCAAAGUCAGGCGUGAAAUUCCCGGGCUCAACCUGGGGGCUGCGCUUGAUACUUGGUUGCUUGAGUGGGGAAGAGGGUCGUGGAAUUCCCAGUGUAGAGGUGAAAUUCGUAGAUAUUGGGAAGAACACCGGUGGCGAAGGCGGCGACCUGGUCCAUUACUGACGCUGAGGCGCGAAAGCGUGGGGAGCAAACAGGAUUAGAUACCCCCGUAGUCCCUGUCUCUUAUAC
rnacentral:rRNA from 1 species